GCUGGAGGCAGUGGCGCAUGCCUGUAGUCCCAGCUACUUGGGAGGCUGAGGUGAGAGAAUUGCUUGAGACCAGGAAUUCUGGGCUGUAAUGCACUAUGCCCGUGAGGUGUCCGCACAAAGUUCUGCAUCAAUAUGGUGACCUCCCAGGAGCCGGGAACCACCAGGUUGCCUAAGGAGGAGUGAACCAGCACAGGCAGAAACAGAGCAGGUCAAAACUCCCAUGCUGAUCAGUGGUGGGAUCACGUCCAUGGAUAGCCACUGCACUCCAGCCUGGGCAACAUAGCAAGAACCCGUCUCU
rnacentral:SRP_RNA from 1 species